rnacentral:rRNA from 1 species
AGCAGCCGCGGUAAUUCCAGCUCCAAUAGCGUAUAUUAAAGUUGCUGCAGUUAAAAAGCUCGUAGUUGAAUUUCGGGACCAUCAUGUCGGUCGUGCCUCGGUACGUACUGGCAUUGUUGGUUUCUCCCUUCUGAAGAACCUUGAUGUCAUUAAUUUGGUGUCUUGGGGAAUCAGGACUGUUACUUUGAAAAAUUAGAGUGUUUAAAGCAGGCUCGCGCUUGAAUACAUUAGCAUGGAAUAAUGAAAUAGGACGUUUGAUUCUAUUUUGUUGGUUUCUAGGAUCGACGUAAUGAUUAAUAGGGAUAGUUGGGGCAUUAGAUUCAAUUGUCAGAGUGAAAUUCUUGGAUUUAUUGAAGUACUAACUACUG